rnacentral:rRNA from 1 species
GACGAACGCUGGCGGCGUGCUUAACACAUGCAAGUCGAACGGAAAGGCCCUGCUUUUGUGGGUUGCUCGAGUGGCGAACGCGUGAGUAACACGUGUGUAACCUGCACUUGUCUUUGUGAUAACUUCAGGAAACUGGGGCUAAUACCGGAUAUGAGCUCCUGCAGCACGUUGGGGGUUGGUAAGUUUCGGCGUUUGGGGAUGGACUCGCGGCUUAUCCGCUUGUUGGUGGGGUAGUGGCUUACCAAGGCUUCGACGGGUAGCCGGCCUGAGAGGGUGACCGGCCACAUUGGGACUGAGAUACGGCGCAGACUGCUACGUGAGGCAGCAGUGGGGAAUAUUGCACAAUGGGCGGAAGCCUGAUGCAGCAACGCCGCGUGCGGGAUGACGGCCUUCGGGUUGUAAACCGCUUUCGCCUGUGACGAAGAGUGAGUGACGGUAAUGGGUAAAGAAGCACCGGCUAACUACGUG